rnacentral:lncRNA from 1 species
UGCUGGGGUCUUGGGUGCUUUCCUCUCAUUAUCAUGAAGUCAAUCUCAUCCUGGAUACCAACACCAAAGCCUUCUCCUUCGCCAUCUUACUCUUUUCCUCACGGAAUGCUGCUUUAAGAGAUCAAAUACUGAUCAAAUACUGUCUUUCCUCCUAAGCUUCAUGGUUGCAUGUUUUCACACAUAGCUUGCUUUGUGCAUUGGUUACUUCUGGGAAGGAAGACAGGGAUCCACCUUCAAUGUGUCUUCAAUAUGUCUCCUGGUGCCGCUGCCUGUGGAAGGUCCUGUGUUAGCCUUCAAUGCAGUAAAAUCCCAGCUUUCCAAACCUCAGUACUUCCCCUGUAGAGCAGGGUUGAUUUUAGACUUACAACUGUUCUUUCCGAUCUGGUGAACUCCGGGUUUACUCUGGGUCACCCUCUAGAUUCUACACUUCCUAAGGGCAUUAGUGGGGUCUGGAAGGCCAUUCUGCUUUCUUCACAGGGAAGUGAGUUACUGGGACUUCGACAAUGUCAGGGAACACCAGCAAUUUGGACCAGAAAGCUUAGACUCGCUUGGGCUCCUGCUGCUCUGAGCAAGUGCAGAAGGUGCUAGCUGUCAACCAUGCAGGGAUGCACCCCAGGCAAUAGCAUGUAUUGAAUGGAAAAUGAGGGAGACUGGUCUCCACCCUGAGAAAGACUUCACCCGGGAGUGUGGUUUCUUGUCUACACUGCCCUGGUCAUGACUGAAAGAGUGUCAGCCUCUUUUAUGUCUCUGCUUUAACCAGGAGACAAGUGGGAGUUGAGAGACCCAGCAGGACCAAGAGAUCUGGGGGACCAGAAGGCCUGGGGGACUAAGAGACCUGAGAAGACCAAGAAUCCUGGGGGACCAAAAGGUUGAGGGGGAACUAAGAUACAUGAAGGGCAAGAGACCUGGGGUACCAAAAGGCUAGGAGACCGAAAGCCCUGGAGGACUAAGAGAACUGGGGGGACCAAGGGAUCUUAGAAUCAAGAGACCUGAGGAUGGGGCAAGAAAUCUGAUGGGAUCAAGAGACCUGGGAGCAUCAACAAUACCUACAUAAUCUAAGAGACCUGGAGGACUGAGAGAUCUGGGAACCAAGGGACAUGGGAAGAGAUUGUGUGUGGGACCAUUGAGCACAACUGUGGUUGAUGGGUCUGACAAGAUUCACUCUGUCCUUAGGUCUGUAUAACUUUAUCACCAGACCUCAUAACUCAUGAGCAUGUCAAGUGUGACUGUGAACUACCUGGCACCAUAUCCAAGAGGGCACAAGCAGUCGAAAAAUCAACCCGAGACAAAAGGCAACAGAGUUCCUAACCCUUGAUUUAGCAGGAAGUGACAUUUGCAGACUUCACUUACAGGCUCCUUUUUCUGUGAGAUGACCAGCUCCAAUGAAGCAGGCAUUGGUUAAAAAAAAAAA